UACGUAGGGGGCAAGCGUUGUCCGGAUUUAUUGGGCGUAAAGAGCGUGUAGGCGGCCUGACAGGUCUGCUGUGAAAACUCGAGGCUCAACCUCGAGAUGUCGGCGGAAACCGUCUGGCUAGAGUCCGGAAGAGGAGAGUGGAAUUCCUGGUAUAGCGGUGAAAUGCGCAGAUAUCAGGAAGAACACCUAUGGCGAAGGCAGCUCGCUGGGACGGUACUGACGCUGAGGCGCGAAAGCGUGGGGAGCAAACAGG
rnacentral:rRNA from 1 species